rnacentral:lncRNA from 1 species
CAAGAUCAUACACUUCAGGCUAAGCAGGUACAAAAGUGAGAGUGAUGCCAACUAGGCUCUGAGCAGAUAAAGGCCCCCCUGGACAUCCAGAGCCUUCACAUCUGUGAACAUUGGGAAUGUUAGCACCACUCUUAGGACAACAGAUUUUCCCACCUUUGGUCAAUUACAAUGACAAAGCCAGAUGUUUUAAAAUACUGCAGGACCAGGAAAGGCUGCGUGGCUGGAGGUAAAGGCACAUUGGAUUCUGAGAGACCCCACUGUGCUGGUGACUUCCAGCUUUAGAUGGAAAGUACACUUCUCCUAGAAUGUUAGAUUUAGUUUGCUAGAGAUACAACUGCAGGAGAUGUGAAGAGUGCUUGUUUAUCAACUGGUCCAUUUCAGUGACUUCCUCAACUCCUAAGUUAGAGAGCCCUUACUUAGUAACCUGGAUGCCUGUCUCCUUUCAGGUAGGUGAGGGACAGAGUGGAAGGGACUCCAUCAUGGAAGCAUGCCCAGAAUUCUUCCAAAGGGGAACGAGGCAGCAGGAGAUUCUCACUGGAACCUGGGAUGUGAAUUGGUACUUCUGGCCUGGAACUUGGGCUACUGGACUGGCUGCUGGCAGAAACCAUCUCCCCCUGCUUAUGACAUUAUCACAGACAAGCUUAACUUCAUGGACUCUACAUUAGCAGCAGUGGCAUCUUAUGAUGGGGGAUGUGCUUCCGUAUAUGUUUCUCUUAUUGGUUGAUGAGUAAAACACUGAUUGGCUGAUUGGCCAGGCAGGAAGUAUAGGCAGGGCUAGGAGAUGAGAAUUCUGGGAAAUGUAGGCAGACAGAGUUGUUAUUUAGCGCCCAGGAAGAGAGGAAGCAUCAGGUGUUCUCUGGUAAGCCAAGAUCAUGUGGAAAUACAUAGAUUAAUAGAAUUGGGUUAAUAAUUAAGACAGAGCUAGGUGGGGGAGAAACAAAGGACUCCCCACCCCUAGCUGAGAAACUGUUGGGAGGCAUUUGUCUUCAGGAGUGUAGCCCCUGGUAAGCUGCCUGGGAUCCACUAAACACCAGCACCUACUACACAUGUGCUAACAACCAUAGUUAAACAGAGUAGGGUUGUUUUUGUUUUUGUUUU